AACUAACAAGGAUUCCCCUAGUAACUGCGAGUGAAGCGGGAAAAGCUCAAAUUUAAAAUCUGGCAGUCUUUGGCUGUCCGAGUUGUAAUCUAGAGAAGUAUUAUCCGCGCUGGACCGUGUACAAGUCUCCUGGAAUGGAGCGUCAUAGAGGGUGAGAAUCCCGUCUUUGACACGGACUGCCAGGGCUUUGUGAUAUGCUCUCAAAGAGUCGAGUUGUUUGGGAAUGCAGCUCAAAAUGGGUGGUAAAUUCCAUCUAAAGCUAAAUAUUGGCGAGAGACCGAUAGCGAACAAGUACCGUGAGGGAAAGAUGAAAAGAACUUUGGAAAGAGAGUUAAACAGUACGUGAAAUUGCUGAAAGGGAAACGCUUGAAGUCAGUCGCGUUGGCCAGGGAUCAACCUUGCUUUUUUGCUUGGCUUACUUUCUGGUUGAUGGGUCAGCAUCAAUUUUGACUGGUGGAAAAAGUUCAAGGGAAUGUGGCAUCUUCGGAUGUGUUAUAGCCUUUGUUCACAUACAUUGGUUGGGAUUGAGGAACUCAGCACGCCGCAAGGCCGGGUUUUAACCACGUACGUGCUUAGGAUGCUGGCAUAAUGGCUUUAAUCGACCCGUCUUGAAACACGGACCAAGGAGUCUAACAUGCCUGCGAGUAUUUGGGUGAAAAACCCAAGUGCGUAAUGAAAGUGAAAGUUGAGAUCCCUGUCGUGGGGAGCAUUGACGCCCGGAUCUGACCUUUUGUGACGAUUCUGCGGUAGAGCAUGUAUGUUGGGACCCGAAAGAUGGUGAACUAUGCCUGAAUAGGGUGAAGCCAGAGGAAACUCUGGUGGAGGCUCGUAGCGAUUCUGACGUGCAAAUCGAUCGUCAAAUUUGGGUAUAGGGGCGAAAGACUAAUCGAACCAUC
rnacentral:rRNA from 1 species